AUUGAACGCUGGCGGCAGGCUUAACACAUGCAAGUCGAGCGGAGAUGAGGUGCUUGCACCUUAUCUUAGCGGCGGACGGGUGAGUAAUGCUUAGGAAUCUGCCUAUUAGUGGGGGACAACAUUCCGAAAGGAAUGCUAAUACCGCAUACGUCCUACGGGAGAAAGCAGGGGAACUUCGGACCUUGCGCUAUAGAUGAGCCUAAGUCGGAUUAGCUAGUUGGUGGGGUAAAGGCCUACCAAGGCGACGAUCUGUAGCGGGUCUGAGAGGAUGAUCCGCCACACUGGGACUGAGACACGGCCCAGACUCCUACGGGAGGCAGCAGUGGGGAAUAUUGGACAAUGGGGGAAACCCUGAUCCAGCCAUGCCGCGUGUGUGAAGAAGGCCUUAUGGUUGUAAAGCACUUUAAGCGAGGAGGAGGCUACUGAGACUAAUACUCUUGGAUAUUGGACGUUACUCGCAGAAUAAGCACCGGCUAACUCUGUGCCAGCCGCCGCCGUAA
rnacentral:rRNA from 1 species